rnacentral:rRNA from 1 species
AGAGUUUGAUCCUGGCUCAGAUUGAACGCUGGCGGCAGGCUUAACACAUGCAAGUCGAGCGGGGGAAGUUGCUUCGGUAACUGACCUAGCGGCGGACGGGUGAGUAAUGCUUAGGAAUCUGCCUAUUAGUGGGGGACAACAUCUCGAAAGGGAUGCUAAUACCGCAUACGUCCUACGGGAGAAAGCAGGGGACCUUCGGGCCUUGCGCUAAUAGAUGAGCCUAAGUCGGAUUAGCUAGUUGGUGGGGUAAAGGCCUACCAAGGCGACGAUCUGUAGCGGGUCUGAGAGGAUGAUCCGCCACACUGGGACUGAGACACGGCCCAGACUCCUACGGGAGGCAGCAGUGGGGAAUAUUGGACAAUGGGGGGAACCCUGAUCCAGCCAUGCCGCGUGUGUGAAGAAGGCCUUUUGGUUGUAAAGCACUUUAAGCGAGGAGGAGGCUACCGAGAUUAAUACUCUUGGAUAGUGGACGUUACUCGCAGAAUAAGCACCGGCUAACUCUGUGCCAGCAGCCGCGGUAAUACAGAGGGUGCAAGCGUUAAUCGGAUUUACUGGGCGUAAAGCGCGCGUAGGUGGCCAAUUAAGUCAAAUGUGAAAUCCCCGAGCUUAACUUGGGAAUUGCAUUCGAUACUGGUUGGCUAGAGUAUGGGAGAGGAUGGUAGAAUUCCAGGUGUAGCGGUGAAAUGCGUAGAGAUCUGGAGGAAUACCGAUGGCGAAGGCAGCCAUCUGGCCUAAUACUGACACUGAGGUGCGAAAGCAUGGGGAGCAAACAGGAUUAGAUACCCUGGUAGUCCAUGCCGUAAACGAUGUCUACUAGCCGUUGGGGCCUUUGAGGCUUUAGUGGCGCAGCUAACGCGAUAAGUAGACCGCCUGGGGGAGUACGGUCGCAAGACUAAAACUCAAAGGAAUUGACGGG